GGCAAAGUGCCGGAUAAAACGGACCGCGAUGAUGCUGCGAAAUAUGGGAGAACGAUACCCCUUUGCUU
rnacentral:tRNA from 1 species